GGAUUUUUAAAUGUUAUUUCUGUUUUCUGUUGCUAGCGCAGCUCUGCAGUCACUAUCCAGGUGGGUCAGUGGGAGCAGAAGCCCUCUGCUGAUGUACAGGCUCUGAUCAGCAACAUCCAGCAAGACCCACACAGCCUCUUCUUGCUGGAGCUUUUUGUUUGCCUGUGACUGGAGAGUCAGAUUUCUAUUCGGGGGUUGCAGCUUUCCUGUUCUGGAGAAACCACUUCACACCUGCAGAGGUGGAUCGUGAUAUGAUUGUGACCCGGGCUGCCACCUUUGGUCUUGUGAGGAAGCAAAGCUCAGAAAGAAGGAAUCCCUGCAGUCCUGUUCUUUUAGCUCCAAGCCUGCUCAGCUUUAAUCACAGAGGAAGCAGCAGAGCAGCAGACAGUUUGAGAGGUUUGGGCUGACAGAUGUGACAGCAUGGAGAGACUGUGGUCCUUACCCUGAAGAACUGCAGGAGUCACAGAGGAGAUGAGUCCAUCUCACUGUCUGGACUUGCUGACUGAUGUUCUUCUGCACUGCAGAUGCUGAGUAUGACUUCAGAGGCCAGCUGGUCUGCAGAGUUACAAGUGAAUCAAGGCGGAGGGCAGUCUGCCUGCAGCUUCAAAGAAAACAUGCAGGUGAAGACUCAGAUGGGCAGGAUCUCAGCAUCAGACUGUCCAAACAGGCUCCAGCUUCAACAGCAGACUGAGACAGACAAAAGAAAACCGCAGCUUCAGUGGGCUCCACAGGUCAAAGGUGACGUUUUAAAGAGUCUUCAGAGAGAAGGGACUGAUGUCACGUGUCGAUCACAGCGAUUAUGAAGAUGACAGCAAGAGCAACUACGACUGUAAAAGUCUGACCACGACUGUUUUGCACUUGUUUUACAAACAAAAAUCAAAAAAACUCAGUUUAACUGAAAAAACUGCAUUUUUACAGGCCACACUCA